rnacentral:rRNA from 1 species
GCCGCAAUAAAGGGUGAUAGCCCCGUAGUCGACAUCUCAUCAUCAGUGAAAACGAGUAGGGCGGGACACGUGAUAUCCUGUCUGAAUAUGGGGGGACCAUCCUCCAAGGCUAAAUACUACUGACUGACCGAUAGUGAACCAGUACCGUGAGGGAAAGGCGAAAAGAACCCCUGUGAGGGGAGUGAAAUAGAACCUGAAACCGUGUACGUACAAGCAGUAGGAGCACCUUCGUGGUGUGACUGCGUACCUUUUGUAUAAUGGGUCAGCGACUUAAUUUUAGUAGCAAGGUUAACCGUUUAGGGGAGCCGUAGGGAAACCGAGUCUUAACUGGGCGUACAGUUGCUAGGAUUAGACCCGAAACCAGGUGAUCUAGCCAUGGGCAGGUUGAAGGUUGAGUAACAUCAACUGGAGGACCGAACCGACUAAUGUUGAAAAAUUAGCGGAUGACUUGUGGCUAGGGGUGAAAGGCCAAUCAAACCUGGAGAUAGCUGGUUCUCCCCGAAAGCUAUUUAGGUAGCGCCUCGGACGAAUACUACUGGGGGUAGAGCACUGUUAAGGCUAGGGGGUCAUCCCGACUUACCAACCCUUUGCAAACUCCGAAUACCAGUAAGUACUAUCCGGGAGACACACGGCGGGUGCUAACGUCCGUCGUGGAGAGGGAAACAACCCAGACCGCCAGCUAAGGUCCCAAAGUAUAGCUAAGUGGGAAACGAUGU